rnacentral:rRNA from 1 species
GUGGGGAAUAUUGGACAAUGGGCGCAAGCCUGAUCCAGCCAUACCGCGUGGGUGAAGAAGGCCUUCGGGUUGUAAAGCCCUUUUGUUGGGAAAGAAAUCCUGUCGAUUAAUACUCGGUGGGGAUGACGGUACCCAAAGAAUAAGCACCGGCUAACUUCGUGCCAGCAGCCGCGGUAAUACGAAGGGUGCAAGCGUUACUCGGAAUUACUGGGCGUAAAGCGUGCGUAGGUGGUGGUUUAAGUCUGCUGUGAAAGCCCUGGGCUCAACCUGGGAAGUGCAGUGGAUACUGGAUCACUAGAGUGUGGUAGAGGGAUGCGGAAUUUCUGGUGUAGCAGUGAAAUGCGUAGAGAUCAGAAGGAACAUCCGUGGCGAAGGCGGCAUCCUGGGCCAACACUGACACUGAGGCACGAAAGCGUGGGGAGCAAACAGGAUUAGAAACCCGAGUAGUCC